UUACAAUGCUGCUGAUAUUAUUCUUAACUAUGCUUCUGCUAAGUCCAAAGUGCAAAUGAUAGGGCAUGUGGAGGCUUUAUCAUGGUUUAAACCUGCUGUUGGAUUUCACAAAUUAAAUGUGGAUGGUUCAAGGACCAAGUCUGGUGAGAUAGGUGCUGGAGGAGUUAUAAAGGAUAGCCGUGGCUGUUGGAGUGGUGGUUUCAUGAUUAAUAUUGGUACUGGAGAAGUUUUACAAGCUGAGGCCUGGGGUCUUUUUAAGGGCAUUCAAAUGGAUUUGAACAUAAAGAUUUCUAAGUCAGAGGUAGAAUCAGAUUCUGCCGUUCUUGUUAACCUUUUGCAGAAUUCUAAUAUGGAGCUUCACCCCUCGGGUAUAAUUGUGGCAAACUGCAGAUCAAUGUUGUAGCACUUUGAAUCAGUCCAGGUUAAGCAUAUUCAUCAAGAAAGAAAUAUGGGUUUAGGGUAAAAUCAAGCAGUCUUACCAUAAGAGAGAUACAUUUGCUUGACAAAAUAAAUACGGGGAAAUCAAGAUUUGGGAAAUAGGUAAGCAAAGGAAAUGAGGAGAAGUAAGUAAUAACGUACAAUCUCUUCUAACUGGAAAGUGGGAAGUAAAAUGAAAAUGUCAUGACCCACCCCGGAUUUCACCCUGAAACCUGAAGUAAAUCCUGCGGGGACCACCUCCAAGGAAAAUUUACCUAAAAAUUGGCAAAACCUCCUUUGAAAAUGGACAACCCUUCCUAAAAAAAAACACAUGCAAACACUUCUAACAAUUCCAACUCCAACCUUAUAAACUCCUGGAGCCUUGGUGCUCCCCACAAAUCACAACAUCUCCCAAUUUAUAUUUAAUAAUCUAACAAAAAUCUCAUAAACAACAAUCACAGGUUCAGAGCAACUCUAUUAGAGGAGAUAAGAACUAGAAAUAGAAAUAUGAGCGGAAGCUAUACUAUUGAUUAUGCCUCGUCUCUAUGUAUGUCUGACCUCAACUAUGCUAACCUGCAUACUGGACAUUUAAAACCAAAGGGCCCAGGGGAAAGUAAUUUAAAAAUGUUAGAGUGAGUGGACAAAAAAUGAAUUUAAUGAAAAUAUUUAUGCUUUCCCAAUUUAAAUUUCCAUAGAAAUUAUGCUGCAUACGACAGCUCAAAGCUUUCUACUCACAAACUGGCAAAUACAUGACUAGCUCCGGCCAAUCUCCAAAACUUAAUAAAAUACAACCUCUCAGGCUAAACUAUAUAUAUAUAUGUAUGUAUUUACACUCGUCAUACUCCUUGUAUGAUUUUUUUAUGAAGAAUAAGAAAAAUAGAAAUUCAUACAAGGCUACUACGCUUGCGUCUAACGCUCACGUCACACCAUAAUGGAAUUUUACCUCAUUACGGUGGAAAAACAUGAGUGUAUAUAUACGUGCAUAUUCCCUAUAUAAGUUACUAAAUUUAUAUAGGGCUACGACGAUUGCGUCCAACGCUCACGUCACACCAUAAUGUAAUUUUAUCUCAUUAUGGUGGAAAAGCACAUAUAGCUAGCUAGCAUUUAUUUAUAUACAUACUAUCCUCAUAAUCAUCCAUAUAUGGAUAUAUAUUCACCAAAAUUCUCAAUUUCGGUCAUUCUCCAACAAAAGAAAAUACUCAUCAAUAAAUCAUUUGCAUGCACAUUAUUUAAAAUAAAAGUCCACUCACAAAUUAGGCCUAAGCUUGAUGUCGCUCCGAGGCUUUUUCUGUUCAGGCCUCCUCUCGUCCUGUUCCAAAUAUAAUAUUAAUUUCCCAACCAAAAAUCCAAAACUUACACAAAAUAUGCAUAAUUAAAUGUGAGGCUUAAUCACACUCAUCCUUGCCCAACUUCGCCUUAAGACUCAAAAGGGUCCAAACUUCACCGAACAUACUGGCAGCUUUAAUUUAACUUUUUACCGAUUAUACGACUUUAAUACAACGGCCGGAUUCUACCUUAAAUAACCGCCAAAAUUACUAAGCUUUAAAAAUUCUCAAACAUAUCCAAAACUCCUCCAAAAAUUCUAAAAUUCACAUCAAUAACUCCCAUUAUUAUAACCAAUCAAAAACCAUGAAAAUCCCCUAACCAGCGGCAGCGGCGGCCGGAGGCCGACUCAGCGACCUCCAAAACCUACCAAAUUUUAACAGCAGCUUCCUUUCAACUCCCUCUACAACUUUCUUAACUAGUACAACACCUAAUUCCAAGCCUAACCGUGUCAAUCGAACGAAAACAUCCUAGAAAACCCUAGAGCUUCAACACCAAUAUCUCCUUACCUAGCUCAAGAGAGGGUGAGACCUUUGGAGGGGUUGCAGCACGGGAGGAGGGCUUUCUUCCAAGCCAAGUAGCUCCGGCUAUGGCAGCCGGAGGAGAGAGUUCCGGCGAGAAGACCACCAGGCUUCCAAGGAGGACUUCCUCCGUUUGGCGGCGUUGCAGCGUCGCUCACCAGUCCAAGACGACGGCGGAGCGGACAGCGGACUAUGCUGGACCGGUGCGGCGUCUCCUCUUGGCCGGACGGCGGCGAUGGAGCUCGGGGAGUCUCCGGCAGUGUGAUGAAGAAUGAAGUUAUGUAGGUCUUGUAGUUCACUAAAAUGAAUCUUAUUGUAUUUUACUCAAAAAAAAGAAAUAAAAAAAAGCAAUUGAUCGAAGUUAUGUAGGUCUUGUAGUUCACUAAAAUGAAUCUUGUUGUAUUGCGAAGCACUGGCGGAUCUAGCCCUAGGUAAGAUUUGACAUCCUAAAAAAAUAGCAACGUAUGUUAGAUGAGGUAGCCUACCCAUAUUUUAGUUGUUACAUAGACUACCAGUAGCAUCUUCUAUCUCAAAAUCUCUCAAUUAUCAAUAGCUCUCAUCUCCCACCUCCCCAAUUCCCACUUUCCCAAACCCAACCCUAAUCCCAAAUCCUUUCCCACCACCCAAUUUUGAAGGAUACGAAAAAGAAAACUCUCAUCUCACUGUCUGAUUUCGUCUCCUUUAUAAACACUUGAAUAAUUGACUCACAAUCGAAAAAUUAAAUAUUUUACUCAAAAAAAAUAAAGAAAAAAAAGCAAUUGAUCGAAGUUAUGUAGGUCUAGUAGUUCACUAAGAUGAAUCUUGUUGUAUUGUGAAGCACUGGCGGAUCUAGCCCUAGGUGAGAUUUGACAUCCUAAAAAAAGAGCAACGUAUGUUAGAUGAGGUAGCCUACCCAUAUUUUAGUUGUUACAGAGACUACCAAUAGCAUCUUCUAUCUCAAAAUCUCUCAAUUAUCAAUAGCUCCCGUCUCCCACCUCCCCAGUUCCCACUUUCCUAGACCCAACCCUUAUCCCAAAUCGUUUCCACCACCCAAUUUUGGAGGAUACGAAAAAAGAAAGCUCUCAUCUCACUGUCUGAUUUCGUCUCCUUUAUAAACACUUGAAUAAUUGACUCGCAAUCGAAAAAAUUAAAUAUUUUACUCAAAAAUAAGAAGAAAAAAAAAACAAUUGAUCGAAGUUAUGUGGGUCUAGUAGUUCACUAAGAUGAAUCUCGUUGUAUUGUGAAGCACUGGCGGAUCUAGCCCUAGGUGAGAUUUGACAUCCUAAAAAAAGAGCAACGUAUGUUAGAUGAGGUAACCUACCCAUAUUUUAGUUGUUACAUAGACUACCAGUAGCAUCUUCUAUCUCAAAAUCUCCCAAUUAUCAAUAGUUCUCGUCUCCCACCUCCCCAGUUCCCACUUUCCUAGACCCAACCCUAAUCCCAAAUCGUUUCCCACCACCCAAUUUUGGAGGAUACGAAAAAAGAAAACUCUCAUCUCACUGAAUGAUUUCGUCUCCUUUAUAAACACUUGAAUAAUUGACUCACAAUCGAAAAAAUUAAAUAUUUUACUCAAAAAAAAGAAAAAGAAAAAAAACAAUUGAUCGAAGUUAUGUAGGUCUAGUAGUUAACUAAGAUGAAUCUUUAAAUUAAUUCGUUGAUUAGGAAUUGAAGGCUUUAGGCCUCAUUAGUUAGUUUUUAUUUUUAUUUAUAUGUUUCUUGCAUUUUAUUGUAUCUUAAAUCAAAAUAUUUGAGCGUAAUACUU
rnacentral:lncRNA from 1 species